rfam:Paraphaeosphaeria sporulosa strain AP3s5-JAC2a unplaced genomic scaffold CC84scaffold_11, whole genome shotgun sequence.
AGCUGAGUGGCGCAGCGGAAGCGCGCCGGGCUCAUAACCCGGAGGACCUACGAUCGAAACGUAGCUCAGCUA